UUAGUGGCGGACGGGUGAGUAACGCGUGGAUAACCUGCCGUAUACCGGGGGAUAACACUUAGAAAUAGGUGCUAAUACCGCAUAAGCGCACGGCUCCGCAUGGGGCAGUGUGAAAAACUCCGGUGGUAUACGAUGGAUCCGCGUCUGAUUAGCUAGUUGGCGGGGUAACGGCCCACCAAGGCAGCGAUCAGUAGCCGGCCUGGGAGGGUGGACGGCCACAUUGGGACUGAGACACGGCCCAAACUCCUACGGAAGGCAGCAG
rnacentral:rRNA from 1 species